rnacentral:misc_RNA from 1 species
GAUGAAGAACGUAGCAAAAUGCGAUAAGUAAUGUGAAUUGCAGAAUUCAGUGAAUCAUCGAAUCUUUGAACGCACAUUGCGCCCGCCAGUAUUCUGGCGGGCAUGCCUGUUCGAGCGUCAUUUCAACCCUCAAGCACAGCUUGGUGUUGGGACUCGCGUUAAUUCGCGUUCCCCAAAUUGAUUGGCGGUCACGUCGAGCUUCCAUAGCGUAGUAGUAAAACCCUCGUUACUGGUAAUCGUCGCGGCUACGCCGUUAAACCCCAACUUCUGAAUGUUGACCUCGGAUCAGGUAGGAAUACCCGCUGAACUUAUGCAUAUCAAUAAGCGGAGGA